rnacentral:rRNA from 1 species
CAGUAGCCACGGGAAUACGAAGGGGGCUAGCGUUGUUCGGAUUUACUGGGCGUAAAGCGCACGUAGGCGGAUCGAUCAGUCAGGGGUGAAAUCCCAGAGCUCAACUCUGGAACUGCCUUUGAUACUGUCGAUCUGGAGUAUGGAAGAGGUGGGUGGAAUUCCGAGUGUAGAGGUGAAAUUCGUAGAUAUUCGGAGGAACACCAGUGGCGAAGGCGGCUCACUGGUCCAUUACUGACGCUGAGGUGCGAAAGCGUGGGGAGCAAACAGGAUUAGAUACCCCCGUAGUCCCUGUCUCUUAUAC